UGCCUAAUUAAAAAACUUAAAAGGAAAACCCAGUGGGACAAAACCUCGUGAGGAAAAAAGAGUACAACGCGUAUUAAAUCCCCCUAAUGAGAUCAUCCUUGAACCUUUGCAUCCCGACCUUGAACACCAUCUUCUUGAAAGUUGCAAUUGAAGGAGACUUGGUGAAUAAAACAGUCACAUUGUCACUUGAACGAAUCCGUUGUACGUUAAUAUCACCAUUAUUUUAGAGCUCGUGUAUGUAGAAAAGUUUUGAUGAAG
rnacentral:lncRNA from 1 species